UACAGAGGCCUCGAGCGUUAGGCGGAAUCACUGGGCUUAAAGCGUGUGUAGGUGGAUGCCUAAGUACCUUGUGAAAUCCCACGGCUUAACCGUGGAACUGCUGGGUAUACUGGGCGUCUUGAGCCACUCAGGGGCUACCGGAACAAGCGGUGGAGCGGUGAAAUGCGUAGAUAUCAUUUGGAACGCCAAUGGUGAAAACAGCUCGCUGGGAAUGAUCUGACACUGAGACGCGAAAGCCAGGGGAGCGAACGGG
rnacentral:rRNA from 1 species